AGAAGCCAUUAGGUUAUUAAUCUCAAUUCAGUCCGAAAUGAAAUUCUCGAAUAGGGAUCCCAUUUAUCCCCAGUUUCCAUUUUGGGUUGUUAAAAUUAUUUAUCUAUUUUUUAUUUUUUAUGGGUUUUUUAAAAUAUAAAAUAACAUAUCCUAAAGUUGCCAGAAAAUUGAAAAAGGGAACGCAUCUGCUCUUCCUUAUCUUCCCAUCAUUACUAUUGGAUAGAGAGCAGAGACAGAGAUUUCGAUGGAGAGAAUGCGAACAUAAACAAAUUUAACAAUCUUAUAAAGGAAGUUUGAGGGAUCAGGCCUCACCUAAUAAUACUUAUUAAGGUGAAAGGGUGAAGACAUGAAUGCAUUCAAUGCUUUCAAAGCCCAAGUUUUAUAUAACCUUGGUAAGGGGCAUUCCAGGAACUAGGAGACUUCACAGGCGUGCCGUAGAGGCAUCGCGUCUUGGCAAGUGCAACCAGACUUUCAUGCGGUGGAAUACUCCCACAGUCAGGGAUGAUCCAGCAGAGGUUAGUUGUGGUUGAAAUGGAAGAGAUGUACAAGGCCCAUAAACAAAAAUGAGGUAAACCACCAAGCUGUUCUCUCCCCAUUGGUCGUGGACCACUUGCCUGCCUCUGCAAGCGCUUCCUCUUAGAGCUGGCGUUCUUCUAAUGCAAAUCUUUUGAGGUCAGCUCUGUUUCUUAAAAUGUGCAUUUGUUGCUCAAGCUAUCUGUUUUCAAGCAGUGAAUUUACUAGAAGUAUAGUUGAUUUAGUAAACUGGAAUUGCAGCUUUCCUUGGCCUAUCUAGUGGGGCAGCGGAUUAUAGAUCUCUUUUAUGUGGUGUUUACCAAGGAACAAGAAUUUCCAACGCAGCAAUGUCAUUCACGUUUUUUGAAACUUUGUAACUUGACAGUUGGUUUUGAAUGGUUUAAUCAGACAUUGAUGCCCAGUCUUAAUUUGGCGGUGAAAUCUUAAUUUAUAAGAGGCAAAUCGUCUCAAUAUCUCUUGUUUUUGGUGACUGCUCUGAAGAAUGUGAAUGCCACCCCCUUUAUAAGUUGCAAGGGCUUGUUGCAAUGUUUAUUUAAUGCAUGAAGGGUAAAUUUUCUGCAACUUGUGAUUUCUAUAUAAACCAUUCCCAAUUUUCUUCAAACAACUUGGUCUUGAACUUUCUGUUUGGAACACAGGGAAAGUGUGGCACAAGCUGCUGGUCUUCCAGUAUUCGAUUCUUAUUUUACAUGCUUCAAUUAUCUGACUUCACUAUUCUAUUAAUCUGAGAAUUGAAAACAAAAGUAGAAAUUGUGCAUCUGAUAGAAAAAUUGGAAAGCUAUGUAGUGUGGGACUGAGACUUGCAAUGUUAAUAUACAGUGGUAUGAAUAUAAUGAAUUUGUGUGUACCUAAUAGUCGUUUGUUGGAUUGUGUUCUUAAAUGGUUUGUCACACACGCACAAAGAGGAUGUAAAGUUAAGGAGGCAAGUAUGGGGGUCCCCUAAUGCUGGUAUGUGCUUUGUUAGAGUGGAAAUUUGUGCUUUUGCUAAAUCUUUGUUUUGCAUUAUUAUAAUAAGCGUCAUCAUGAAAAGCUCUUAAAGCAAAAGGAAAAAAGAUGCCCAUGGAGCGUAAAGCACCUUGUGUUUAAGUGUUUUUGGUAACCAAACAGCAAAAGGAGACCUUUUUGUGGUGAAAAAAAAGUUGCUGGUCAAAAGGACUUGCAUUAAAAUUGGGUCUACUUUCAGCUCUUGAAUUCCAGUGCAUCUGUCAAUUUUCUGUCCCAGAUAUUGUUGCAUCAAGAGAGUUUCUGAUUUUUGUGCAUCCGCAAACUAGGCUACUCAAUAAAUGAGAAUUCACAAAUCUGAGAGCUCAAAUAAUGUUGUUUUGAUUCAUCAGAUUAUUCAAUUCUUGUUCAAUACUUGGCUGCUGUGAAUGAUUCCAGAUUUUUGUGGUAGAUGCUGGAAUUAGGUCAUUCUUUUAGUUGACGUUCUUGUUCACUUGUGUUCGUAAUACAUGUUCUUUGCUGUUUGUAAUGCUCUUGUUGUAGGGUUAUCUCUUCUACCUGGUAGCUUUGAUAAUGAAAACUUCAUAUACAUAUAAACCAUCUCGAUAAGGUUAGAUUUCUCCGAUGGAGUAUUGUUAGAUGAGAAGGCAAUUACUACUUCAAUAGCAUACUAUCUUUCAUGCACCUGAUAUGGUAUUUGAUCCCAACUAUGCAUUCUACAGUCCAGCUUCAGUGCCCGUGCCCUCCAAGGCCUAAGCAGAGGACUCCAGAGCUGUUUUUCAGAGCAAUGGCAUGUUUCUUUAAUGUCAUUUUCCCAUUAUUUUUUCCAUCUGUACCAGCUACCAAGCCAGUUGAUUGAUUAUUGAGCUUUUAGUAAGAGAUGGAUUAUUAGGAUUUUGAAAAAUUGCAAGUAGUUGAUUAACUUUCACAAACAUGGUAGUAGUCAAGCUAUACAGUGUGCAUCACUUCAUGAGCUCCUUUUCCCCCUA